rnacentral:rRNA from 1 species
GACAGAGGUGCCAAGCGUUAGGCGGAAUCACUGGGCUUAAAGCGCGUGUAGGCGGGUCGGCGCGUCCGAGGCUGAAAUCCCCCGGCUCAACCGGGGAAGUGGCGCGGAUACGACGAGUCUGGAGGGGCAUAGGGGGACCUGGAACUUCCGGUGGAGCGGUGAAAUGCGUUGAGAUCGGAAGGAACGCCCGUGGCGAAAGCGAGGUCCUGGAUGCCUACUGACGCUGAGACGCGAAAGCCAGGGGAGCGAACGGG